GAUGAACGCUGGCGGCGUGCCUAAUACAUGCAAGUCGAGCGAACGGACGAGAAGCUUGCUUCUCUGAUGUUAGCGGCGCGCGGGUGUGUAACACGUGUAUAACCUACCUAUCAGACUGGGAUAACUUCGGGACACCGGAGCUAAUACCGGAUAAUCUUUUGAACCGCAGGGUUCAAAAGUGAAAGACGGUCUUGCUGUCACUUAUCGAUGCAUCCCCGCUGCAUUAGCUAGUUGGUAAGUUCACGGCCUACCAAGGCAACCAUGCAUAGCCGACCUGAGAGGGUGAUAGGCCACACUAGAACUGAGACACGGUCCAGACUCCUACGGGAGGCAGCAGUAGGGAACCGGACGCAGUGGUCGAAAGCCUGACGGAGCGACGGCGCGUGAGUUAUGAAGGUCUUCGGAUCGUAAAACUCUGUUAUUAGGGAAGAACAUAUGUGUAAGGAACUGUGCACAGCUUGACGGUACCUAAUCAGAAAGCCACGGCUAACUACGUG
rnacentral:rRNA from 1 species